ACGAGUUAGGGUCUUCUAGGCCCGACCUCCCAACCCAUUGUUUACUAAACCUCUUGUUGCUUCGGCGGACCCGUCUCACGACCGCCGGAGGACCGCCCGAGCGGCGUCCUCUGGCCCGUGUCCGCCGAGAGCCCCCAUUAAAAUUCUUGAAUGAAUCGUGCCUCUAAUGCCUAAGUCAAUGAUUAAAUCAAAAGCA
rnacentral:misc_RNA from 1 species